GCACGUCGCAGGGAUCGUCGGGAAGCGUAGUGUUGGAGGCGCUCUUUCCACGUUCUUUACACUGGUUCUCCGCGCAGUCGCAAGCCGCUAAUCCCUUUCCUUUAUUUACCCACACACACCCCAACCCCCACAAACUUUUGAAUCGCUAUGCCUUCAGGGAAGUGUAGUCCCGUUAGCAUGUACGUCUGCUUAAUACGACUAGAAACUCACUACGACUCCCGUCGUGCACUACGGGAAUUUUGGAAAGCUAUCCCUUGUAUUUAUGAGGGUUUGUGAGCUGCUUCAAUGGAAUGAAUUCAAUGGAAUCUUUGAUAUUCAUCAAUCAAAUAUUAAAUAUCUACUACAUGCAUCAAAGGACCAUUGAGAGAAAUCUUAGAGUGAUACAAAAAUGAUAUUUGCCUACUCAAAAACAAGAGACAAGAAGGGAGAAAAUGGAAAAAGAAGGUCUAUCUUUUUCAAUGAAUCUUGUGAGUAUUUCUUCUAUCUCUGCUCCCCUGAUAGCCAUCUCUGCUUUGACUUAUGUCCUAUCCAAGUUCUAUGGUCUAAUAAGAAGAGAAUGGGGAACAGGACUCUUGGGCUCAAUUUAGUUAGGAUGGUAUAGUAUAGGGCUUCCCAAUCUUUGUGUGAGGUUUCCUUCCCUCUUUUAUUUUUGAAGAUCUGGAGGUCAGCCGGAUUACAGUAAAGACUUUAAUGGAAUUAGAGAAAGAAUAGAGGCUGUAUAUACCUCCUCUCCUAAGGAAUUUUGGCAAAGGAGGUUGUGCCAAUAGCAUUUGCCUUUGGUCUAGUAAUAAACUGAAAUUUUCUGUUUGGGACCCCUACUGU
rnacentral:lncRNA from 1 species